CCAUCUCAUGUAGUUUGGUAAAGCAACACGUCACUGUGGGAAAAUCUCUACUGAAGAUCCCAACCUGUAAAUGCCAUCAAUCCGAAGAAGUCCUUGUGCUGAGGAACCGGACUUCCUCUCUGGACAUACAUACAACACAGUGGAAAAUAACAAAUGAUGACAAAGUUUGAAAAGUUUAUGACAGACCACAGCUCAUGAUGGGGACAAUCCUGAGGAUAUACGAAAAGCAUUUCCCAUGCAGGAAGAAGAAAAUAUUCUAAAGAAGAGAUAAGAGUGUGCCAUGAAAUCAAAAAGCCAACAGAUCUCAGGGAGUUCCUUUUCUACCCAAACUAUCAGAUGUAAUUUAGCAGUAAAGAAAGAGUUGGCUCACGUGUAACAAGUACUCAUGUGCGAUUAUGGAGUUUUCUUCUCUAUUUCAAAAAGAAAGGUGGAGAAAUGGAGAACAGGAUAAAGGCCUGGAAUCCCUGCUCCAGAAAGUUAGCUGAUAGCUGUGAUUGGCCAUUGAGAAGAGGGAGGAGUAAUGACUUCAAUGACCCCAGAAGAUUCCAGAGCAGAGAACAGCAGCAGUCUGGCUUUGUUCUUUGGUACCAAGUGCCCCCGUCAACCACUGCAAAUACUCCAAGGCGGGCUCAAAGAUACCUUCUAUUUGGAUACCAGAGGAGGAAGUACUAAGGACUGAAUGGGGUCCUCAGGGACCUAAGUCCUAAGAAAUUUCCAUUUGAGGAGCAGAGGUUAAAAGUACAUGGCCCUCGGCUGAUAGAAGUCCUCUUAUUUCCCAUACUUGCAUAUGCCUGGGAAGUUACCCUACCACUAACACAACCACCACCUGCCUCCACUGCUCCGCUUCAGCCAAUGUCUGACUGUAUGGAAUAUGAAGAGCCAGUCUGCCUCAAAUCAUGGUAAUUCUGCUGUACAUUUAUGCCUCAGAGUCCCUCAUUGUUCAGGUCAACAACAGAAUUUACCUGUGACUAUAUCCUUGAUGAGCAAUUUGACUAUACCAGUGUCACCUCCCUUUCUCAGGUUUUUCCUAAAGAGCACUCUCUCAGUAAGUCACUUGGCUUGAAUCUGUCUCUGGCUCUGCUUCUAGAGAACCCAACUUAAGACAAAGGGCAUCUGGGAUUCUGGUCAUAUUUCCAUUUAUCACACCUGACAAGUUCUAAUCCUCACAAUGACUCUACAAAGUAGGUGCUAUUAUUCCAAUUGUAUGAAUUGAUACAUUAAGAUUGGCCCACUGAGCCAGAGUCAGCAAAGAGGCAGAUAGAUCCCAGAGAGAACAGAAAUCAACUGCUUAAAUAGUUUCCCAAAAGAAACCACCAAAGGCUGCCUUUAAGAGGGAGGUAUCUGGCUCUCCCACUCUGGGGCCAUUCAUUCUAACUUUCUACAAAUUUACCCAUUCAGAGAAAAGUUGUACAUGAGGACACAAGAUGUAGAUUUUUCAAUCGAUGUUAUAAAGUCAGUGUUCUAAAGCUUCAAAAUUAAUCUUAUUGCUAGAACUCAUACAGCAAUUCGGUAGCGUGGCAGGAUACAAAAUCAAUGCCCAGAAGUCAGUGGCAUUUCUAUACACUAACAAUGAGACUGAAGAAAGAGAAAUUAAGGAGUCAAUCCCAUUUACAAUUGCACCCAAAAGCAUAAGAUACCUAGGAAUAAACCUCACCAAAGAUGUAAAGGAUCUAUACCCUCAAAACUAUAGAACACUUCUGAAAGAAAUUGAGGAAGACACAAAGAGAUGGAAAAAUAUUCCAUGCUCAUGGAUUGGCAGAAUUAAUAUUGUGAAAAUGUCAAUGUUACCCAGGGCAAUAUACACGUUUAAU
rnacentral:lncRNA from 1 species